rnacentral:lncRNA from 1 species
GUCUUUUUCCUGCCACCGAAUAAGGGAUGAUCACACACACGCCCCACUCCACCCCCACCUCGGCGCACAGUUCCUCUGUGAAGGGACAAGCGGGAUGGGGAAAGUUUGGCACCACGGCGUUGGUGGUGGCAGCAAGCAGCAGCGGCGGCACACAGGGGUCCCAGUGGGAGGCAGGGUCGCUGAAAACCCCGGCCCGGUCGCCUCCUUACCUCGGUGCUUUCGACUGCGUUCUCCGCCAUUUUCCUCCGGAGGAGCAGGCAGCGGGAGGAGUGUUUCAUGCCCAUAAGAGCCAACAAGGGUUUGGGGAUUCGAGAUAGUAAAGAACGAGAGACGGCUGAUGUGGCUUUAAAAGAGAGCCUAAGAAUGCAAGAGGAGGGGGGAAAAAUCCCAGCCAGCCCCUCUCCCGGAGCGUCCUCCGCGACAAUCGAGCUCUGUGGAGUC